UACGUAGGGGGCUAGCGUUGUCCGGAAUCAUUGGGCGUAAAGCGCGUGUAGGCGGCCCGAUAAGUCCGCUGUGAAAGUCCAGGCUCAACCCUGGGAUGCCGGUGGAUACUGUCGGGCUCGAGUCCGGAAGAGGCGAGUGGAAUUCCUGGUGUAGCGGUGAAAUGCGCAGAUAUCAGGAGGAACACCAAUGGCGAAGGCAGCUCGCUGGGACGUGACUGACGCUGAGACGCGAAAGCGUGGGGAGCAAACAGG
rnacentral:rRNA from 1 species